GGUGACAUGGCCGAGUAGUUAGGCAGCGCUCUGCAAAAGCGUGUACGGGGGUGCGAAUCCCUCUGUCACCUCCA
rnacentral:tRNA from 1 species